CCUGGUGGCCAUAGCAGAGUGGAAAUACCCGUUCCCAUCCCGAACACGGAAGUCAAGCGCUCUCACGCCGAUGGUACUGCAGAGAUGCGGGAGAGUAGGUAGCCGCCAGGU
rnacentral:rRNA from 1 species